rnacentral:lncRNA from 1 species
AAAAAAAUGGCGACUUUGAAGAAGAUUUUUUUUGGUCAACUGUCCCUACGAAGUAUUUGCCGUUUUUUUGAUAGAAAAGAGACAACACUGGGAUCCAGGAACAUUGACUAAGAAUAUACAGAGAAUUGAUCAAUUAUCCUCAAGGCAAUCACCAUUCACCAACCCACCUGCAGCUGUUAGAUGUAUCUACCCAGGCACCAAACCUUCUCAACUGUCCAUCGCCGGUUGAGUAUCAUGCCAGUCACAGGAACCAAAGACCCAGGAUCAAUUAUCCUCAAGACAAUCACCAGUCACCAACCCACCUGCAGCUGUUAGAUGUAUCCACCCAGGCACCAAACCUUCUCAACUGUCCAUCGACUGUCGAGUAUCAUGCCAGUCACAGCAUGGUCACAGGAACCAAAGACACAGGACUCUAUAACCCAGCACCACCCUGGCAGCUUAGACCAGCAUGAUUUGAAAACAGCAGGAUGACUACCCACCCAUUUAGACACCAUGUCUAGACACUCUACUUCUGUCAAGGAAAGUUCUACUGCCUAAAACGCAGCCAGACGUCGCGACAACAUGCUGCCCACUGAACUGUAAGCUACAUGUACUGCCAUUGGAUCUGAUGGGCUUUCCGGUUUGAGUCACAGGAAAUCUGAGACGUGCGACCACAGCCACUGACUCCUGAAACCCAACAAGGAAGCAGUCAGAGAUGCACUGGAGAUCUCUCUUUUCCGGGUUGCCAUUCAACGACAACGAUGUCACUUCAUAGGUGCUCCCUGUCUGCAUUGACUGGAAGGAAUGUGUGAGCCACAGGUAGACCAGCACCAGCAGGAGUCUACAGGAAUUGCUCCAGAAUGACUUCCUCCUCAACAAAUCUCUCCUGCUGGACACAAAACUUGUCUUCAGAGACUGCUCUUAUCUUCAACUGGACAAAUGCUGAUUCUAAGUAUACAUGUAGCUCACAUUGAGCCAUAUGUCAAUGGACCUCGCAAGUCACACAAAAUGUUUGGAAAACUGUUGAAAAUAUGAUGGGAGAGAUACAUAAACAAUUCAUGAGAUCUGAUCAUGAGAUCUUCAAAAAUUGAUUCAGAAUUACUGUUGGAAUCUGUCAGGAACUUUUGAAACAGAACUCCAUGCUUUGAAAACGGAACUCUUUUGAAAAGGGAACUCUCUUGAAGUGAACGACCAUUUUAUGUGAAAGAAGUAGAGGUCUCUCUCCAAGAGGUCACUGGAGGUCAUUACAGUUAACCUCUGUGACCUGAGUUGCCUAGGGUAACCACAGUUUUACAGAAGUCUAAACUCUUGAAAAGAACUUGAUAAAAAUCUUCAAUCACAGUAUUCCAUGACGAAUCCACUGUCACCUAUUGACACAGUUUGGAACAAGAUCCCCUGAAUUUUUCUCCUGCAAGAAAUGUAUGUUUUGAUCCAAAAUCCUUCAAAACAAAGCAUUUGUUCUUUGUGGAUCCAAAGUUGAUGUCACUCAUUGCUGAGAUCAAAUUGAACCGCAAAAUGGACGAGAGGCCUCUACAUGUUACACGUAACCAGCUUCUUAAUGCAAAACUUUUCAGGCCAUAAAAAUAGAAAUAUCCUCUUUUUUUUCUGGUGAAUUGAUUUCCUUAAUUUCAUUCAGUGGCGCCACUUACAUGUACAUACAUGUACUUGCCUGAAACUGCAGCUUAUCACCAAAGCACUCAACAAGCAGAGCCACUUACUAUAUUUACAGCGCUGCAUUACUUUUUCCUCACCUCGUUUUUCCGAGAGCAUUUGCAAAAGAACUGAAAUGUACGUAAUCUUUAAGACAGAUUCACUCAAAAUGUAUUCAAACUGAGGAAAACAUUGCCUCCCAACAAUUUUGAUUAUGCAGCUGUAUGCUUAUAAUAGAGAGAGCUGGUUACGUUAAAUUUAUAUUUUAUCUGAAAUAUUUGUUUAUGGCAUUGCCUGAUUGGUAGUAGCUAGGUGCAAGAUUGGUUUUCCUGGAACAAAAUUUGACACACAAAUGCAAACACAUCUCUUUGGACCAAAUUUUUCUAUAAUUAACACAUUGAGCCCAAAAUCUCUCUUUUGGACUAACGUUUGUUUCGCAUUUAAACCAAAAGCUAUUUGUUUGAGAUUCAAAAAACAAUAUGAAUGUCCUGACAUCAAAAGCAGGAAUUCUCUGUUAACUUUAAAAUGCCCAACAUUGCAAACGAGUACAAAAAUCAACUUUCCGUUAAAUCUCCAAAUUUGUUUCAACCUCUGCAUGGGUUUUCGAUAGCUUUGAUACAUUUCCCAGUUGAUCAUAAUUUAGCAGCUACUAUCAGCAGCACUACCAAUCUUGUACCCAGCUUUUGUUUUAUUAAGAAUAGUCAGCACUGGUCAAAUGUGUAAAGGCAGCGUUUGAAUGAAACAUUUUGUCUAUAUCACACAUUUUCCAAAUUCAUCAAAAUUGAGCAAACCCUAAGUUUACCAUU